AGUCAGUNGGGAAGNCGUAGGAGACCGCCAGCGAUAAGCUGGAGNAAGGUGGGGAUGACGUCAAGUCCUCAUNGCCUUUAUGUUCAGGGCUACACACGNGCUACAAUGGGCGGUACAAAGGGCCGCGAACCCGCGAGGGGGAGCCAAUCGCAAAAAACCGCUUUCAGUUCGGAUUGCAGGCUGCAACUCGCCUGCAUGAAGCUGGAAUCGCUAGUAAUGGCAGAUCAGCACGCUGCCGUGAAUACGUUCCCGGGCUUUGUACACACCGCCCGUCACAUCACGAAAGUGGAUUGUACUAGAAGUCUGCAGGCUGACCCGCAAGGGGGGCAGCGGCACAAGGUAUGAUCCAUGAUAGGGAUGAAGUAGUAAAAAAAUAAAGUGGACCUCCUGCGGCCGAUCC
rnacentral:rRNA from 1 species